AAGUGAUCGUGUGUGGGGGAGGAGGAGAGUUUAUGCGCGCGCGCGCCUCCUCCUCCCCACGCCAAUCUUGUGUGAACCGUUAUUCUGUGGUGUGUGUAUGCGUUGGUGUGUGAUGUGUUUACAGCACUCCCACCAGCAUCACAAACACAAUAAUCUCUCUUUAACCUUUGUCUAACAUGAUGUACCCACAAUUCAAAA
rnacentral:misc_RNA from 1 species